ensembl:lncRNA
CCGGCCACAUUUAGCCUCGUUAUCAGAGUUCUCCGUUGACACCAAACGCUGCUCCUAUGUUGAGCUCUGAUUUCUUCUUUCCCCGUUAAUGACAUUUAGCGUUCAGGACAUCGGCUCUGACAUCAGCACUUCUCCCGUAAUUACUGCUGGCGUGAUGGGCCUUCAGAGGACGUCAGCGCACGAGACGAGAGGCCACCGCCGCUCCUCUGUGGUGCACAAGACGCUGCAGCGCUCAGAUGUUUAGUGUAUGAUGGUCUUUUUCUCCACGUUUCAUCCUAACGUGUUCCCCUCCGCCAACUACUUCCUGUCCCUUGUUUGUUAUUUCCGUAGGGGGGGGAUAAAAUCCAGGGGAAGGAGUCUGGUGCAGUACGUCGCCCUCUGAGGUAUAGCAUCUGAGCAGCGGGGAGGAAGGAUCUGUAACCUGUGGCGGCGACCCGGAGCUCUGGCUGUCAGAACGGGUUGACAGGCCCGAGGACGGGGAAUUAAAGAGGCUCUUGUCCUCCUCCAAGGCUGAUUGACACAGUCAGAGCGACAGAAAGGCUGCUGGAAGUGCAGCUAUUCCCUCGGCUGUCUCUACCUUUUGCACUGGACAAAGAGCAGCGUCUCACUUUCUUUAGAUGUGUCUUUCACCGUCCUCCUGCUCUUCUCCCCCCCCCACACACACACACACUCGGGCUCAUUAUAGGAAUGAUCCUCAGGGACUUCACUUACUUCUCUGACUCUCCUCCCAGUCCACAAACCUCGCCGACGGACAAAAGGCGGCUGAGAGGAAAUUUGAAUUUGAAACAGGAGGCCGCAACAAAAACACGCAGCUCCUGAAAUGGAGAAACUUUAGAAGACUUGUAGGCAGCUGAGGUUUACCGGUCCAUGCACCAAAAAGCAGAAACAUGAUUCUGACAUUAUCCAGCCAGCCAAUGAACUGUAAAGGUAGCAGCUACUGAACAAGGAGAGGGAUGGCAGCGCCUGAAGGAAGUAGCAUUGGACACCAGGGGCCCAGCGGGUAGGACUGUAGAACGCAGCCCACCGCAGCUAACAUGCAAUCACACAAAACAGUGAGAAAAACACAAAGAGAGGGGCACGUUUUCCACAAGGCCACAGUGACCGUGCGAUGCAGUCUCUGCAUGUGCAGUUCUGAAACUCACCGGAUUAGAAAAGUCUCUUCCAUUGACCAUUGAAAACAAUUGCAACGUGAAAAGGGCUAAAUUCCUCCUCCCAAACGUCUCAAAUUAAACAGCUCCUCGCUCAAACCCGGUUUGAUUAAAGUAGCUGAGUGAGACACUGAUGCCAGUGUUUUAAUGUACAGCAGCAAAGGAGCCAACACACUUAGAACUGUCAGCCAUUUUCAAUCACGCGAUCUGAGCCCUGUCAAUAACCACUCAAUGGAUGGACGGACAGCUGAGUGCUGCUUGUUUGUGCGUGGCUGCGAGCUACGCAGCAUGAAAUACAGAAC